rnacentral:rRNA from 1 species
GAUUCCUACGGGAGGCAGCAGUGGGGAAUCUUGCGCAAUGGGCGAAAGCCUGACGCAGCAACGCCGCGUGCGGGAAGAAGGCUUUCGGGCUGUAAACCGCUUUCAGCAGGAACGAAAAUGACGGUACCUGCAGAAGAAGGAGCGGCCAACUAUGUGCCAGCAGCCGCGGUGAUACAUAGGCUUCAAGCGUUGUCCGGAUUUAUUGGGCGUAAAGAGUUCGUAGGCGGUCGAGUAAGUCGGGUGUGAAAAUUCUGGGCUCAACCCAGAGACGCCACCCGAUACUGCUUAACUUGAGUUCGAUAGGGGAGUGGGGAAUUCCUAGUGUAGCGGUGAAAUGCGCAGAUAUUAGGAGGAACACCGGUGGCGAAGGCGCCACUCUGGAUCGACACUGACGCUGAGGAACGAAAGCAUGGGUAGCAAACAGGAUUAGAUACCCUGGUAGUCCAUGCGGUAAACGGUGGGCACUAGGUGUGGGUUUCUAUUAACGAAAUCCGCGCCGUCGCUAACGCAUUAAGUGCCCCGCCUGGGGAGUACGGUCGCAAGACUAAAACUCAAAGGAAUUGACGGAAUC